AAAAAAGGUAAGCUACUAAGAGCGAAUGGUGGAUGCCUUGACUGGUAAAGGCGAUGAAGGACGUACUAGACUGCGAUAAGCUACGGGGAGCUGUCAAGAAGCUUUGAUCCGUAGAUUUCCGAAUGGGGCAACCCAAUGUAUAGAGAUAUACAUUACCUAUAUAGGAGCGAACGAGGGGAAUUGAAACAUCUUAGUACCCUCAGGAAAAGAAAUCAAUAGAGAUUGCGUCAGUAGCGGCGAGCGAAAGCGCAAGAGGGCAAACCCAGUGCUUGCACUGGGGGUUGUAGGACUGCAAUGUGCAAGAGGUGAGUUUAGCAGAACAUUCUGGAAAGUAUAGCCAUAGAGGGUGAUAGUCCCGUAUGCGAAAAACAAACCUUAGCUAGCAGUAUCCUGAGUAGGGCGGGACACGAGAAAUCCUGUCUGAAGCUGGGUCGACCACGAUCCAACCCUAAAUACUAAUACCAGAUCGAUAGUGCACAAGUACCGUGAGGGAAAGGUGAAAAGAACUGAGGUGAUCAGAGUGAAAUAGAACCUGAAACCAUUUGCUUACAAUCAUUCAGAGCCCUAUGUAGCAAUACAGGGUGAUGGACUGCCUUUUGCAUAAUGAGCCUGCGAGUUGUGGUGUCUGGCAAGGUUAAGCAAACGCGAAGCCGUAGCGAAAGCGAGUCUGAAUAGGGCGCUUAGUCAGAUGCUGCAGACCCGAAACGAAGUGAUCUAUCCAUGAGCAAGUUGAAGCUAGUGUAAGAACUAGUGGAGGACUGAACCCAUAGGCGUUGAAAAGCCCCGGGAUGACUUGUGGAUAGGGGUGAAAGGCCAAUCAAACUUCGUGAUAGCUGGUUCUCUCCGAAAUAUAUUUAGGUAUAGCGUUGUGUCGUAAUAUAAGGGGGUAGAGCACUGAAUGGGCUAGGGCAUACACCAAUGUACCAAACCCUAUCAAACUCCGAAUACCUUAUAUGUAAUCACAGCAGUCAGGCGGCGAGUGAUAAAAUCCGUCGUCAAGAGGGAAACAACCCAGACUACCAGCUAAGGUCCCUAAAUCUUACUUAAGUGGAAAACGAUGUGAAGUUACUUAAACAACCAGGAGGUUGGCUUAGAAGCAGCCAUCCUUUAAAGAAAGCGUAAUAGCUCACUGGUCUAGUGAUUUUGCGCGGAAAAUAUAACGGGGCUAAAGUAAGUACCGAAGCUGUAGACUUGCGCACAACUUAGAUUAUUUAAGUUUAGAAUAUGAGAAACUAAGUUAUAUGUUUAGUUAUAUUUUUACUGAUUUUUAUAGAGUAAAGAUAGAAAUAAAACUUAGUAAAAUCAGUAAAAAUAUUCUUAGACUAAAGUUAAGUAGUUUAAGUUGUGUGCAAGUGGUAGGAGAGCGUUCUAUUUGCGUCGAAGGUAUACCGGUAAGGAGUGCUGGAGCGAAUAGAAGUGAGCAUGCAGGCAUGAGUAGCGAUAAUUAAUGUGAGAAUCAUUAACGCCGUAAACCCAAGGUUUCCUACGCGAUGCUCGUCAUCGUAGGGUUAGUCGGGUCCUAAGUCGAGUCCGAAAGGGGUAGACGAUGGCAAAUUGGUUAAUAUUCCAAUACCAACAUUAGUGUGCGAUGGA
rnacentral:rRNA from 1 species